ACACGAAUAAUUUAAUUAAAAACAGCCGCUACCAAUUCUGUGUAAAUGAAAAAAAAAAAAAACGUAUCGAAUUUUUUUUUUUGCAUAUUACUCGCGCGUUGUACUCCAGCUUGUCAUAAUACGUUGUAUGGUUAGACAAUAACAAUAUAAUCAUCAACAUUUAUUCGGAGUUUUUCUUUUUUGAAAAUUUAAGAAACAAGCAGCUCUCAAAAGCGAAAUUACCGUUAUUUCAACGAACUGUAAUUUCGAUUGUAAAAUCGCUGUUCACCGAUAGUGAUCAACGCAACAUUAUAUAGAACUGCCUAAUUCUUAAAUUGUCUUGAGAAAAAAUCCUAAAAAAGUUAACAACUCCCGGUUGUCUUAUCGUGGAUCGAUCGAUUUGCGUGUACUCACGCACGGCGUCGAUUUGUAUCAAGUGCGCGCUUUUUGGGAGGUUUCAACUUCUAACCCCCUCGUCCGUUUGCGUGCACGAAUUUCGUGUUUUGCGAUAAUAUAAUAAAACCGGCGACGUGUGCGUGUAAAUUAUAAAAUCUACAGAAAUAAGCGGGAGAGGGGGGAGGGGUGUAAAACCAAAUGGUCUGCGAUGGUCUAAUAUCGACAAUAGUGGUCAGCGCCUAAUGAUGUCGAGUCGGGGACCACCGAUCCGGACGCUCGUUUCGGCUCGGUACCCCGCCGACUCGCAAAGUUCCCCGCAGCGAGUUCCUCGCUUUCCCGGCCCGUCCCCGUUUACGAACGAACCGCCUUUCGCGGAGAACGGCUUUGUUUUGUUUUGUUUUUUUUUGUUUUUUUUUUUUUUUUUAUGAUUAUGCACGGCGAAAACCGAACGGUACACGGGCACCUGUACAACGUUUCAACGUACGGACGCGCAAUAACCGUUCGGUUAUUACAAUAAUAUUAUAGUUGCGCAACUUUUUUAUCGGUCGAACCUGCAGCAGUGCCCGCGUUACCUACCGCAACGUUCGGAACAGAAUACAUAAUUAUUAUCAAUUAUUAUCUAACAACAAAUAAGGUUUUUUUUUUUUUUCAGUUUUAUAUCUCCGUAUAACACAACCGUUGUUUACCGUCCACGUUAAACGCCGCCUAUACUCUAUUCUACUUUCUAAACAUAUAUCCCAUAAUACGCUUGCUACGCGACGUAAUGUAAUAUUAAUAUUACACUAAUAUUUAUUCUUGUUUCGAAAACAUCGUCGGGAAUCACGAUUUAAAUUUUUGCUCAACGUAUUGUGAAUCUGUUAGGCGUCUAUUGUACAUAUAUAAAAAACGAAAACGGCGCGCAAUUGGAUUCAAUUGACAUUUGUUGCUGUACAGGUUUCGAUUUUAGUUUUUCCGUUGUCGACAAAUAGUAAGUGUACGGAAAUAAUCGUGUAUUCUUCGAGUGUGCCGCGAAAAAGAAAAAUCCGAUUCUGUCGGGUUCCGUUGCACAUUUGGCGUAUGAAACAGAUAAAAUCCAAAUAGUCUUCCGGUAUCCACUCGGGAUUAAUCAAGUAAUCACGCCUGUAAAUAAUAACAUUAUUAAUUAUUGGAUCUCAUUUUGCUCAAUGUGCGCCGAUUCCUGUCGAACAUUUUACAAUAAGUAUGCAUUUUAUUUCCAGUGUCUUCCAAACGGCGGAUUCCGUUGUCGUUAAAACAAUAUUUUGAACCGGGCCAUAAUAUUUCGGUACCUUUUUUUUUUUUUUUCCAAUUAAUCACUGUACUAGAUGAACUUUCUAGGUAAAAUUAAUUUCUUUUCGUUCGGUGUUUAUCGCACUUAUUCCGCCUUGGUUUUGAAAGCUUCAGUACCCGUUAACAGUAUUUAAUUGCAAUUGUAAAACGAAAAGCGUAAAGCACUCACGAUUAACCGUUAUAAGGUCCGGAUUUCAGUGUAAUGGGCAUAUUUUUAUUUUUUAGAUCGCUUUCGAACAAUGCAUUCCGAGUGCAUAAAAUAUUAAUUGUGUAUCGCGUCACGACUACAAAUUACACUUAAUCUCGAAUUUUCGAAUUAAAUAUCGUCUAUGUGCCGUCAAAUCCGACUCGUUACAAAGCAUUUUACGGUAAUAAUUUUUUCCUCUUUUGUUCCUUUCAUAUGCGCUUCAUGUGUCCAUUCAUAUCCUUUCAUAUUCAUAAUAAUAUGUAAAUAUUAAACACUGUAUAUUAUAUACUUUACGUAACGAAUAUAAUUAGCUAAUAUUACGUGACCAAAUUGUAACACAUUACUGCCACAGUUGACUGUAUAGAAUACGGUGCAGUGUCUCGCCGCGUUCGGCGGAUUUUUCUAAUUUUCUUUAUUCACUUUAGACGGUUUUCAAAACAGCCAUUCUAGUAAUUUUAAGAAAUAUUAUUCGGACAAUUUUAACGCGUCAUAAGUUCAUAUCCGAUUGAUAGUUUUUUAACUGUAGCCGUUUUAAUUUUUAGAAAAUAGGCGUGAAAACAAUUAAUAUCCAAUGGAAGGUAAAGAAUUAGGUACCGUGCUGAUUGCGAUUCCGUAUCGUACAACGUCGUGUUAGUUUUUGUUGAAUAUUAAUUGUUUUUAUAAAUUAAAAUGGCUAUAAUUAAGAAACUAUUAAUCGGAUACGAAUGUGUGAUACAUUAAAAUGAUUUGAAUAAUAUUUUUUACAUAAUCGCUAUUUUGAACAUUUUCCAAAGUGAAUAAAUAAAAAAAUUAUGUAUACUUUUUCUCCAAAUCGAUGUCCCCCUCGAAAACAAACUAAUAGAAAAUAAAAAAAAAAAAAAUGUAACGUUAACAGCGCUAGAAAAAUCCGUCGAACACGGUGGGACACCCUGUUAAACCCUCGCAACUUUAAUGUUGUUUGGCCGCGUACCCGCGUAGGCGCAAAUAGUGUUUGACAUUUGGGGAUGAUUUUAGCUGAUGAGCGCUUUUUUUUAAUAUAUAUUCUUACGCUUUCCUAUACUUAGAAUACGAUGAACUCCAAUAUAUUAUUAUUUUUUUUUUUUUUUGAAGGGGGCUAUAGCAAUUCUACAGAGGUUGAUUCUCUCUAGCUCCCCUUAUUUGCGCUUACGGUAGAACGUGGCCCGAAAAUUCUUGUGGCCACGGGCCGUCCGUGCGUGUUGUACAAUAAUCAAUACUCUUUAACUGAAAUCUAAUCAUUAGUAAGAUAUAAUUAACUCUAGCGAAAUCUACAAUCGAAAUCGUAUUACACUACGUUACUAUUGGCGUGCAUUAUUAUCUAUCUAUACAGUACAUACGUAUGAUUACCAUAAACCUCAUUCUACGAUAGUAAAUUGUGUCGAGUAUAAAUUGUACUCGUGCGGAUAAACCGAUACGUUUUUCAGAUGAUACCUACGUAUUAUUAUGAAUAAUAUAAUAAUAGUGUCUUACGCGUGCAAUAAUGCAAUUGUUUCUCGCGGUAAUAGUAUAUAACAUGUACGUUAAUAAUAUUGUUUUAAUCGUUUAUUAAUAGUAUUAGGUACUGUAUGUUGUCAAAGUACAAAACGUAAACUAAACUAUACAUUAUUAUUAUUUGGCUUAAAAAUGUCAUUUACACGUUUUAUAUGUAUACGUACGGAGACAAAUGGUUUUUUUUUUUUUUUUUUAAAAUUAUUUUUUAAGCGAUAAUAUCAUACGAAACAAUUUUACCUUCAUCAAUAAAAUACUGUUCUACCUAGCUAUACUUACUAUAACUUAUAUUGUUCUUGUCUAUGGCGUUUGUAACGUUUUCUGAUUAUAAUAAUCUUUAUUUCCGGAGAUGUAUUCCAAUUUACAAAAUAAUAUGCGAAAUGACAGUGAAUUGUAUUGUACUGAUUAAAGAAAUGAAAAAAAAAAAAAAAUAUAGGUUUAAUAUGACAUAAUACUUGCAGUAAAGUGACAUAUAUUGUGAGUUUAAAGAUAAAAAAUAUACUAACUAUACUACUAUAUGUUGUUGUGUGUGAUGAUAAUAUUUUAUAGUAAACCUAACCUAAUUAAUUAUAUUAAACAAAUUUUGUAUCUCGACACACAAUAUUUUAUUUUUUAUUUCGUUAAAAUAUACGGAG